GGGCUCGUAGAUCAGUGGUAGAUCGUUCCCUUGGCAGGGGAAAGGCCCCGGGUUCAAAUCCCGGCGAGUCCA
rfam:Halogranum salarium B-1 162.HSB1.1_3, whole genome shotgun sequence.